rnacentral:rRNA from 1 species
ACUAAUAGUUAUUUACUUGAAAUCUAAAAUAUAUGGCGGUGUCUUAUCUAUUCAGAGGAACCUGUUUCAUAAUUGAUAAUCCACGAUUUGAUUUACUUUAAUUAUUAAUUUGUAUAUCGUUGUGAUUAAUUAUUUUAAUAGAAUUAAUAAUAAUUAAUAUUUUCAAUGAAAUUUAAAUCAGAUCAAGAUGCAGUUUAUAUUAAAGAAGAUAAUGGGUUACAUUAAAUUUAUUUUUAGUUUAUAAGUUUUAAUAUGAAUGAUAAAUUGGAUUUGAAAGUAAUAUUAUUUAAAUUUUUAAUAUGAUUAAAGCACUAGGACAUGC